rnacentral:pre_miRNA from 1 species
UCUUCAUAUCACGGUCUCUCUCACCGAUUAGAGAGGCGAGAGAGUGUGCGAAAUGAAGAGA